rnacentral:rRNA from 1 species
ACGGGAGGCAGCAGUGGGGAAUGUUAGGCAAUGGGGGAAACCCUGACCUAGCAACGCCGCGUGAAGGAUGAAGGUUUUCGGGUUGUAAACUUCUUUUAUCAGGGACGAAGGAAGUGACGGUACCUGAUGAAUAAGCCACGGCUAACUACGUGCCAGCAGCCGCGGUAAUACGUAGGUGGCAAGCGUUAUCCGGAUUUACUGGGUGUAAAGGGCGCGUAGGCGGGGAUGCAAGUCAGAUGUGAAAUCCAUGGGCUUAACCCAUGAACUGCAUUUGAAACUGUAUCUCUUGAGUGUCGGAGAGGUAGACGGAAUUCCUAGUGUAGCGGUGAAAUGCGUAGAUAUUAGGAGGAACACCAGUGGCGAAGGCGGUCUACUGGACGAUAACUGGCGCUGAGGCGCGAAAGCGUGGGGAGCAAACAGGAUUAGAUACCCUGGUA